rnacentral:sRNA from 1 species
AGAAGAGUUUCUUAGAUCACUAAACAGCAGUAAGCCUCUCUACCUGGGACAGACUGGCCUGGGGAAUAUUGAAGAGCUUGGAAAGUUGGGACUGGAGCCUGGGGAAAACUUCUGUAUGGGAGGACCUGGCAUGAUCUUUAGCCGAGAAGUUCUCAGGAGGAUGGUGCCACAUAUUGGUGAAUGCCUUAGAGAAAUGUACACGACUCAUGAGGAUGUGGAAGUAGGAAGAUGCGUUCGCCGUUUUGGUGGGACUCAGUGUGUCUGGUCUUACGAGAUGAGCUUUCAUGAACUCUCAGUCCACACUGCCAUAGAUGGUCAUUCCCACAGCUCCUGCUCUGCAUGGUGUAGCCCCAUAGACAGAGAUGCAACAACUGUUCCAUGAAAAUUAUGAACACAAUCGGAAGGGUUACAUCCAAGACCUUCACAAUAGCAAAAUCCAUGCAGCCAUAACACUUCAUCCCAACAAAAGGCCUGCAUACCAAUACAGGCUGCAUAAUUACAUGCUCAGCCGCAAAAUUUCUGAACUUCGCUACCGCACCAUCCAGCUCCACAGGGAGAGCGCCCUGAUGAGCAAGCUCAGUAACACAGAAGUGAGCAAAGAGGACCAGCAGCUGGGAGUGAUACCUUCUUUCAACC